CUACGUAGCUCAGAGUUUGAUCCUGGCUCAGAUUGAACGCUGGCGGCAUGCCUUACACAUGCAAGUCGAACGGCAGCACGGGAGCUUGCUCCUGGUGGCGAGUGGCGAGCGGGUGAGUAAAGUAUCGGAACAUGCCCUGAAGUGGGGGAUAACGUAGCGAAAGUUACGCUAAUACCGCAUAUUCUGUGAGCAGGAAAGCAGGGGAUCGCAAGACCUUGCGCUUUAGGAGUGGCCGAUAUCGGAUUAGCUAGUUGGUGAGGUAAAGGCUCACCAAGGCGACGAUCCGUAGCGGGUCUGAGAGGAUGAUCCGCCACACUGGGACUGAGACACGGCCCAG
rnacentral:rRNA from 1 species